CCCGCUCAGAAACUCAAUGAAUUGACGGGGACCCGCACAAGCAGCGGAGCAUGUGGUUUAAUUCGAUGAUACGCGAGGAACCUUACCUGGGCUCGAACGUAAGAUGACUGUAGGUGAAAGCUUACAUCUCUUCGGAGCAUUUUACGAGGUGCUGCAUGGUUGUCGUCAGCUCGUGCCGUGAGGUGUCGGGUUAAGUCCCAUAACGAGCGCAACCCCUACCUUUAGUUGCCAUCAGGUAAUGCUGGGGACUCUAAAGGAACUGCCUACGCAAGUAGUGAGGAAGGCGGGGAUGACGUCAAAUCAGCACGGCCCUUACGUCCAGGGCUACACACGUGCUACAAUGGCCGAUACAGAGGGCAGCUACCUGGUGACAGGAUGCAAAUCUCCAAAGUCGGUCUCAGUUCGGAUCGGAGUCUGCAACCCGACUCCGUGAAGUUGGAUUCGCUAGUAAUCGCGCAUCAGCCAUGGCGCGGUGAAUACGUUCCCGGGCCUU
rnacentral:rRNA from 1 species